UGGGGAAUCUUGUGCAAUGGACGAAAGUCUGACACAGCCACGCCGCGUGCGGGAAGAAGGCCUUCGGGUUGUAAAGCUCUUUCGGCCGGGACGAAAUCGCAUGCGUGAAUAUCGUGUGUGGAUGACGGUACCGGAAUAAGAAGCACCGGCUAACUAUGUGCCAGCAGCCGCGGUAAUACAUAGGGUGCAAGCGUUGUCCGGAAUUAUUGGGCGUAAAGAGCUCGUAGGUGGUUCGUCACGUCGGAUGUGAAAAUCUGGGGCUCAACCCCAGACCUGCAUUCGAUACGAGCGAGCUAGAGUUUGGUAGGGGAGACUGGAAUUCCUGGUGUAGCGGUGGAAUGCGCAGAUAUCAGGAGGAACACCAAUGGCGAAGGCAGGUCUCUGGGCCAAUACUGACACUGAGGAGCGAGAGCGUGGGGAGCGAACAGG
rnacentral:rRNA from 1 species